GUUUUCAUUCUGUUUGCAUUUUUGAGGUGAGUUGUGUUGGGUUUUUUCCCUUUGCUAAUAUUAAGCGAGGGGAAAACCUGGAGGAAAGAAGUAGGUUGGACACGGUAGGUGAACUGAUCUGUGUGCCCUGCUACAGGGCUUCUGCUGUUGUUGGACCCAGAUUGAGGUGGUCACUGGGAUGGUUAAGAAAGGAUGCUGAGGUGUGGGCAGCUGGUUCUGGCCACAGAAGGAUUUGCAGUCCCUCCAGCAGGUGGUAGCAGCCUCCUUCAAGCUGCGCCGCUCUCCUGCCUGCUGCUGCAGAGCUGCUGCCCCAUGAUUCAUGUCCCUGCCUGCCCCUGACCUCACUUGAUCUCCUCACCUUCUACUGCAUGUCUGAGCUCCCCCGAGGAGGAAGAACUUCUGUUUAGGUCCAGUGUAUGCACUAAAUUUACCAGCAGUGUGAAUCACAGCAGGAGGAGGCAACGGCACAACGUCACAAGGACACAUGACAUGUCUUGUUGUUGUAUAUGAUUUAUUCCUAACCUUUUUUGUAAGCACUGUCAUGUUCUACCCAUCACAGAUGGGUGUCUCGUAGAUGAAAUAAUUCAGGGAUGUGCUUCCUAAAUACAAAAUUCGAGAUCUAAUGCCUUGUUUAGGCAGUAGGAUUAGCUGAAGCAGUGACAGGUCGCAGAUAGGCUCUAUCUUCAAAUGAAAUGGAAACUCAGUCUGCUUUGUAUUUCCACAAGAAGUCCUCUAUGCCAGUGUAAUGUGACAAUUUUGUGGAUGCAAUUACAUUAUCCACCUAUAUAUAGCCUCUGCUUAUUAGCAAUUGAGUAAGCUACCUCCCUAACUUAACUCAGUGCAAGUACAAAUACCUUGGGUUUAAUUAUGAAUGGUUGAGUGCUAUGGUGUUUUUUGUCUGUUUCUUUUUAUUGUUGGGGGGUUUGUUCUUUUAAUAUGCAGCCAUACUUUCAUUAUUUGUAUUUUAAAACAGUGGUCUUAUUGGUGAGGACUUAGAUAGGUUGAAAGAGGUUUUGGUAUUCUGUAUGAAUAAAAGAAAUGGUGGAUAAAGUUCUGUUUAACA
rnacentral:lncRNA from 1 species